UACAUGCAAGAUUAGUUCACACCCCAUCCAAGUGUUCUCGAUGGCUCGCAAGACCACCAUCGUUGUGGCAUCCAUGUUGGCAUUGAUGCUCCUUGUGUCUUUUGGCGAGGUUCAAGGGAAGUGUCGUGAGGAACGCAUCAAGCUCGCAUGUGAUAAUUGGGUCAAAUGUUUUGAGUGGUGUCGUCUCUUUGGUGAUACGAAAGGGUACUGUGAUAAAGGUUCAUGUGUAUGUGUGAAUUGCUUUGUGCAAUCGUCUGGCCACCAUUAUGCAGAGGUUCCACCACUAAAUUCUGAUCAUCUUGAGUAGUUCAUUGUAGUUGUCAAAUUAAUGGUAAUUGGUUGUCCUAUAGAUAACUAAGUGCAUUGGUUAUGAUAUUCUUUCUUUUUAUGCAAAUUUCUGAUAUGA